CCUACGUGUGGCAGCAGUGGGGGAUAUUGCACAAUGGGGGAAACCCUGAUGCAGCGACGCCGCGUGAGUGAAGAAGUAUUUCGGUAUGUAAAGCUCUAUCAGCAGGGAAGAAAAUGACAGUACCUGACCCAGAAGCCCCGGCUAACUACGUGCCAGCCGCCGCGGUAAUCCGUAGGGGGCAAGCGUUAUCCGGAUGUACUGGGUGUAAAGGGAGCGUAGACGGUUAUGGAAGUCUGGAGUGAAAGCCCGGGGCCCAACCCCGGGAGUGCGUUUGAAACUGUGUAACUUGAGUACAGGAGGGGCAGGCGGAAUUCCUGGUGUAGAGGGGAAAUGCGUAGAUAGCAGGAGGAACACCGGCGGCGAAGGCGACCGGCUGGACUGAAACUGACGUUGAGGCUCGAAAGCGUGGGGAGCAAACAGGAUUAGAUACCCGGGUAGUC
rnacentral:rRNA from 1 species